GAAAAAAAAAUCUCAUCAUUCCAUUUAAGACCCUUAUAAAAAGGAGAAAACAUCAUCAGGAAACCCAGCUCUGCCAUUGGCUAGCUGUGCAGAUGUGAGCAAGUUACUUUACCUCUCUAAGCUACAAUGCUUCUUUUAGAAAAUGAGAGACUCAGACUAGAUUAUCUCAGAGGUCCCUUAAGACCUUUCACACUUUCAUUCAACAAAUAUUGGUUGAGGUCCUCCUAUGUGCCAGGCCCUGAGCCAGGCACUGGGACUGCAGCUAUGAAUUGAAGUCUAUUCACUGGACUCAAAUUUCCCAUAGGAGUAUUUGACAGCUCAGGAAAAAGAGGGCUCCUAUUUAAAACAAAACAAAACAAAACAAAAAAACCUGGGUGUUUUAGGCUGUUCCAGCUCUCACUAUCUUCAUCCUGCCUUUUCCAGGUGAAAUCUCAGGUCAGGCCCACCCCACCACGGCCAGGGUGGCUUCAUCCACCAAAAACACUGGAAAGCCAAAAUGGCAAACUUGGCAACUACCUCCUAUGAACUGAAGUCAAAACUUCAAUGACAUGUCUCAUUUGAACUUCAUUACUUUAAAAGGCAACCUGAAUGGUACCUGAUGAGACGAGAAUGUACUCAAAACCUCCAAUGGCUCCCAUCUAACUUGGAAUCCAACCCUAAGUCUUUCCCAGAGUCUACAUAGCCUCUGCUCACCUCUCUGGCCUCACCUGUCACCUUCUCCUGUGCUCCUGGCACAUUCUGGCCUCCCUGUAGCUUUCCAGCAAGCCAAAUGCUCUCCUCCUACCAUUCACCUUUGCAUGCACUGUUCCAGUCUUGCUAUCUUCUUGUCCUAGAGUUCAGCUGCCCGACAACUUCCCAACCCUGGCUGUCUGCUUCUGUUGCUUCAUUCCCCUGCCAACUGAGAUUGAACAGGAUCCCAUAUCACUCCUGUCCUUCACCGUUGCUCCACCUCUCUGUUCUGUUUCAUUCUUCACACAUUACUAACUAACAGAACGUCUGUUUGAUAUCAGUCUCUGCCCUUGGCAAAAUCUCCACUAAGAGUCUCUGCUGUGCCACAGAACCCAACACAGACACAGCACAUGGGUAUGCACAGCAACUACUGUGGAGACAGUGGCUGAGAAAUGGUCCACAGCAGGGCUGUCUUGUGAGGCUAAAGGCAAGAUCAUAGGGAUGUGGCCAAGGUAGUGUGGUGGACAUGGAACAAGAAGCACUAUCUGGAAGCUCUCCAGGACAACCGUGGUAAUGGGCCUCAGAAUGCCCUCCAGUCCUCUGAUUUGGACAGCCAAAUGGAAGACGGUUGCAUUCAUCCAGAAGAGUCACCAGGAGCUAUCAGGCUGGAGGGAAGGCUGUGAAUUUGCGUUUAGACAUCGGACAUUGUGUGGGAAGUACAAGAUAUAAAGAUGCCAGAAGAUGGACUUUCUACAGUUGCUCUGAGAUCUAUCUGUUUAAUACAAAGGACAUGAGAAUCCAUUGCUAACAGAGGAGUUAGAUGCUCUGGAUUUGGGCUGGUAGCCUCUUUUUUCUGUAUCAAGCAGCACCUGGCAGCAAAAGAUGAGGAACACUAACCAAAGGGACUCUCCACACCUAGUAACCCUACUACCUACAGGCUGUUCAACUCAGGGUAGGACAAGAGGGCUCCAAGAAGCAACUGACUGACUCAUCGAUACAACUGUGUCCUUUAAUAAAGUGAAGACUUGCUUUCUUUAAAAUCUGAGGGCAUCACUUUUUUUGACAGAAAUUAGUUCAAAACCUUUAUAUGGCCACUGCAGCUUAAUGGCAGGGGCAGCAUUAUGGGAUUUGGAAAGUGGUAUAAAAGCAGGGAGAAUGAAGCCUCCCAGCUGUCAGGACAGCCUAAUGGAGACAUUGAUAUCUGGCUGCCUGGGAAUUCUAGGGCCUUCUAGAAAAUUUAACACAGUGGAACUAGAAGGAUAUUCUUUCACACAAUCCUGAGAAUUUGUUGCCCUAGAUGUAGAAAGAGAUUAAAAAUGAAAGUAAAGCAUUGGCUCACAAAGCAGGCUUGGGAGUGAAGUAAACGGCUAGAGUCCAGACACAUGGCUACCAUGAAAGAUUAAACACAGAAGGCGCCACAGGUACAGGCAAAUUACCUCCCCCCCCCCCCCCCCCCACCGGUGAAGCCAGGAUUCUGGUAACUAGGGACUUGUUUACAGUAUAAAAUAACUGAGAGAGUCCUCCUCAAUUAAGGAGGAGGAGAGAGAAAGAGAAGAAGAAAAAAGCUUCAUAUUUUCAGAGAUUAAAUCCUUCCCAUAGACCACAAAAGGGAGACCAAUUACAGGAAAAUUUCAUUUUAAUGGGCACUCUGUUUGAAUAUUAUCACUAUUGACUAUGAGUAAUUCUGUUUUAGUAUGUGUGACUUAAAACCUCUGCUUUUUCAGACAAGAGUACUUUCUGCCAAUGAGCUGUGACUUAAAGCUGUGUGAUUUGUGUAAAUGUGUUGUAAUUAAUUGAGCUUUAAAAAUUG